AUUGAACGCUGGCGGCAGGCCUAACACAUGCAAGUCGAACGAGUGGCGGACGGGUGAGUAAUGUCUGGGAAACUGCAUGAUGGAGGGGGAUAACUACUGGAAACGGUAGCUAAUACCGCAUACCCUCAGAUGUGCCCAGAUGGGAUUAGCUUGUGGGUGGGGUAACGGCUAACCAAGGCGACGAUCCGUAACUGGUCUGAGAGGAUGAUCAGGCAGACUGUAACUGAGACACGGUCCAGAAUCCUACGGGAUGCAGCAGUGGGGAAUAUUGGACAAUGGGCGAAAGCCUGAUCCAGCCAUGCCGCGUGUUUGAAGAAGGUCGUCGGAUUGUAAAGCACUUUAAGUUGGGAGGCGUUACCAACAGAAUAAGCACCGGCUAACUUCGUGCCAGCCGCCGCGGUAAUAC
rnacentral:rRNA from 1 species